AUUGAACGCUGGCGGCAUGCUUUACACAUGCAAGUCGAACGGUAACAGGCCGCAAGGUGCUGACGAGUGGCGUACGGGUGAGUAAUGCAUCGGAACGUGCCCAGUCGUGGGGGAUAACUACUCGAAAGAGUAGCUAAUACCGCAUACGAUCUAUGGAUGACAGCGGGGGACCGUAAGGCCUCGCGCGAUUGGAGCGGCCGAUGUCAGAUUAGGUAGUUGGUGGGGUAAAGGCUCACCAAGCCAACGAUCUGUAGCUGGUCUGAGAGGACGACCAGCCACACUGGGACUGAGACACGGCCCAGACUCCUACGGGAGGCAGCAGUGGGGAAUUUUGGACAAUGGGCGCAAGCCUGAUCCAGCAAUGCCGCGUGCAGGAAGAAGGCCUUCGGGUUGUAAACUGCUUUUGUACGGAACGAAACGGCUCUGGUUAAUACCCGGGGCUAAUGACGGUACCGUAAGAAUAAGCACCGGCUAACUACGUG
rnacentral:rRNA from 1 species